rnacentral:rRNA from 1 species
UGCGUAGGCGGGUUUCUAAGUCAGAGGUGAAAGCCUGGAGCUCAACUCCAGAACUGCCUUUGAUACUGGAAGUCUUGAGUAUGGCAGAGGUGAGUGGAACUGCGAGUGUAGAGGUGAAAUUCGUAGAUAUUCGGAGGAACACCAGUGGCGAAGGCGACUUACUGGACUGUAACUGACGCUGAGGCACGAAAGCGUGGGUAGCGAACA